rnacentral:rRNA from 1 species
GACAGAGGGUGCAAACGUUGUUCGGAAUUACUGGGCAUAAAGCGCACGUAGGUGGUCCGCUAAGUCGCGUGUGAAAUCCCUCGGCUUAACCGGGGAACUGCGUCUGAUACUGGAUGGCUUGAGUGUGGGAGAGGGAUGCGGAAUUCCAGGUGUAGCGGUGAAAUGCGUAGAUAUCUGGAGGAACACCGGUGGCGAAGGCGGCAUCCUGGACCACGACUGACGCUGAGGAGCGAAAGCCAGGGGAGCAAACGGG